AUUGAACGCAGGCGGAAGGCCCAACACAUGCAAGUCGAGCGAGCGGCGGACGGGUGAGUAAUGCAUGGGGACUGACCGAUAGAGGGGGAUAACUACCGGAAACGGUAGCUAAUACCGCAUACUAUCGGAUAACCCAUAUGGGAUUAGCUAGUAGGGGAGGGAAUGGCUCCACUAGGCGACGAUCCCUAGCUGGUCUGAGAGGAUGAUCAGCCCCCCUGGGCCUGUGACACGGCCCAGACUCCUACGUAGGCAGCAGUGGGGAAUAUUUCACAAUGGGCGCAAGCCUGAUGCUGCCAUGCCGCGUGUAUGAAGAAGGCCCUAGGAUUGUAAAGUACUUUCAGUCGGGAGGCGUUACCUACAGGAGAAGCACCGGCUAACUCCGUGCCAGCAGCCGCGGUAAUUC
rnacentral:rRNA from 1 species